rnacentral:SRP_RNA from 1 species
GCCGGGCGUGGUGGCUCACGCCUGCAAUCCCAGCACUUUGGGAGGCCGAGGUGGGCGGAUCACCUGAGGUCAGGAGUUUGAGACCAGCCUGGCCAACAUGGUGAAACCCCAUCUCUA